CUCGUAGGCGGUUCGUCGCGUCCGGUGUGAAAGUCCAUCGCUUAACGGUGGAUCCGCGCCGGGUACGGGCGGGCUUGAGUGCGUUAGGGGAGACUGGAAUUCCCGGUGUAACGGUGGAAUGUGUAGAUAUCGGGAAGAACACCAAUGGCGAAGGCGGCCCCCUGGACGAAGACUGACGCUCAGGUGCGAAAGCGUGGGGAGCAAACA
rnacentral:rRNA from 1 species